rnacentral:tRNA from 1 species
GCACCUGUGGCGGAACUGGCAGACGCGCUAGAUUCAGGUUCUAGUCGGGGUAACUCGGUGCAGGUUCAAUUCCUGUCAGGUGCACCA